rnacentral:rRNA from 1 species
GUGAACGCUGGCGGUAGGCCUAACACAUGCAAGUCGAACGGCAGCACAGUAAGAGCUUGCUCUUACGGGUGGCGAGUGGCGGACGGGUGAGGAAUACAUCGGAAUCUACUUUUUCGUGGGGGAUAACGUAGGGAAACUUACGCUAAUACCGCAUACGACCUACGGGUGAAAGCAGGGGAUCUUCGGACCUUGCGCGAUUGAAUGAGCCGAUGUCGGAUUAGCUAGUUGGCGGGGUAAAGGCCCACCAAGGCGACGAUCCGUAACUGGUCUGAGAGGAUGAUCAGCCACACUGGAACUGAGACACGGUCCAGACUCCUACGGGAGGCAGCAGUGGGGAAUAUUGGACAAUGGGCGCAAGCCUGAUCCAGCCAUACCGCGUGGGUGAAGAAGGCCUUCGGGUUGUAAAGCCCUUUUGUUGGGAAAGAAAAGCAGCAGGUUAAUACCCCGCUGUUCUGACGGUACCCAAAGAAUAAGCACCGGCUAACUUCGUG